UACGGAGGGUGCAAGCGUUAAUCGGAAUUACUGGGCGUAAAGCGUGCGUAGGCGGUUCGUUAAGUCUGCUGUGAAAGCCCCGGGCUCAACCUGGGAAUGGCAGUGGAUACUGGCGAGCUAGAGUGUGAUAGAGGAUGGUGGAAUUCCCGGUGUAGCGGUGAAAUGCGUAGAGAUCGGGAGGAACAUCAGUGGCGAAGGCGGCCAUCUGGAUCAACACUGACGCUGAGGCACGAAAGCGUGGGGGAGCAAACAGG
rnacentral:rRNA from 1 species